GGGCCCGCACAAGCAGUGGAGUAUGUGGUUUAAUUCGAAGCAACGCGAAGAACCUUACCAGGUCUUGACAUCCAAUGAAUCCUCUAGAGAUAGAGGAGUGCCCUUCGGGGAACAUUGAGACAGGUGGUGCAUGGUUGUCGUCAGCUCGUGUCGUGAGAUGUUGGGUUAAGUCCCGCAACGAGCGCAACCCUUGUUAAUAGUUGCUACGUAAGAGCACUCUAUUAAGACUGCCGUUGACAAAACGGAGGAAGGUGGGGAUGACGUCAAAUCAUCAUGCCCCUUAUGACCUGGGCUACACACGUACUACAAUGGUCGCUAACAGAGGGAUGCGAAGCCGCGAGGUGGAGCGAACCCCCAAAAGCGAUCUCAGUUCAGAUUGCAGUCUGAAACCCGACUGUAUGAAGAUGGAAUUGCUAGUAAUCGCGGAUCAGCAUGCCGCGGUGAAUACGUUCCCGGGCCUUGUACACACCGCCCGUCACACCAUGAGAGCCGGAAACACCCGAAGUCGUUUGCGUAACCGUAAGGAGCGCGGCGCCGAAGGUGGGUUCGGUAAUUGGGGUGAAGUCGUAACAAGGUAGCCGUAUCGGAAGGUGCGGCU
rnacentral:rRNA from 1 species